UACAGAGGGGGCAAGCGUUGUUCGGAAUUACUGGGUGUAAAGGGUUCGUAGGCGGUGUGGCAAGUUGGGAGUGAAAUCUCUGGGCUCAACCCAGAGGCUGCUUCCAAAACUGCUGUGCUUGAGUGUGAGAGAGGCUCGUGGAAUUGCAGGUGUAGCGGUGAAAUGCGUAGAUAUCUGCAGGAACACCCGUGGCGAAAGCGGCGAGCUGGAUCACUACUGACGCUGAGGAACGAAAGCUAGGGGAGCAAACAGG
rnacentral:rRNA from 1 species